rnacentral:rRNA from 1 species
GAUGAACGCUGGCGGCGUGCCUAAUACAUGCAAGUCGAGCGAACGGACGAGAAGCUUGCUUCUCUGAUGUUAGCGGCGGACGGGUGAGUAACACGUGGAUAACCUACCUAUAAGACUGGGAUAACUUCGGGAAACCGGAGCUAAUACCGGAUAAUAUUUUGAACCGCAUGGUUCAAAAGUGAAAGACGGUCUUGCUGUCACUUAUAGAUGGAUCCGCGCUACAUUAGCUAGUUGGUAAGGUAACGGCUUACCAAGGCAACGAUGCAUAGCCGACCUGAGAGGGUGAUCGGCCACACUGGAACUGAGGCACGGUCCAGACUCCUACGGGAGGCAGCAGUAGGGAAUCUUCCGCAAUGGGCGAAAGCCUGACGGAGCAACGCCGCGUGAGUGAUGAAGGUCUUCGGAUCGUAAAACUCUGUUAUUAGGGAAGAACAUAUGUGUAAGUAACUGUGCACAUCUUGACGGUACCUAAUCAGAAAGCCACGGCUAACUACGUG